rnacentral:misc_RNA from 1 species
AACGCAUAUUGCGCUCUUUGGUAUUCCGAAGAGCAUGCUUGUUUGAGUAUCAGUAAACACCUCAAAGCUUUUGAUUUAUUUUGAAGGCUUUGGACUUGAGCGAUCCCAACACCAAUCUUUUAAGAUCGGCGGCGGGUUGCUUGAAAUGCAGGUGCAGCUGGACAUUCUCCUGAGCUAAAAGCAUAUUUAUUUAGUCCCGUCAAACGGAUUAUUACUUUUGCUGCAGCUAAUAUAAAGGGAGUUUGGCCGUUUUGGCUGACUGAUGCAGGAUUUCACAAGGGUCGGCAACGAUUCUUGUUAAACUCGAUCUCAAAUCAAGUAAGACUACCCGCUGAACUUAA